rnacentral:rRNA from 1 species
CUGACGCUGAGGUGCGAAAGCAUGGGGAGCAAAACAGGAUUAGAUACCCUGGUAGUCCAUGCUGUAAACGAUGUCAACUAGCCGUUGGGGUCUUUAAGACUUUAGUGGCGUAGCUAACGCGAUAAGUUGACCGCCUGGGGAGUACGGUCGCAAGACUAAAACUCAAAUGAAUUGACGGGGGCCCGCACAAGCGGUGGAGCAUGUGGUUUAAUUCGAUGCAACGCGAAGAACCUUACCUAGCCUUGACAUGUCCGGAAUUUUGCAGAGAUGCGAAAGUGCCUUCGGGAAUCGGAACACAGGUGCUGCAUGGCUGUCGUCAGCUCGUGUCGUGAGAUGUUGGGUUAAGUCCCGCAACGAGCGCAACCCUUAUCCUUAUUUCGCAGCACGUAAGGUGGGAACUCUAAGGAGACUGCCGGUGACAAACCGGAGGAACGGCGGGGACGACGUCAA